rnacentral:sRNA from 1 species
GGGAUAGUAGUGGAAAGCCCACAGCGCAGCGAGGACUUGUAACGGAUAGCCCGAC